CAACGUUCAAGUUUGCGUGUGCUCAGCAGACCUGAAAUGUGCUUGGUGUCGAAAAAAACAAACAAGAGGGAUGUGUUACAUUGAUCCUAACCAGGGCAGCCCAGCUGAUGCCAUUCUGGUCUACCGUGACUUCACUGCAGCACCAAAGAGCUGUCUUUCUCCGCUCCAGCCUCAGGUACUUCCACACACACCUCUGGCUCUGGAACCCUUUGAACUAUAGAUCUUUUUUUCAUGUGGUAAUAACAUAUGCUAUGUGUGUUUGAAAUUCGUUCCAACCUCAGGUGCCAAUGAAGGCAUGGCUGAAGGAUUCGAGGACAAAUAUCUCAUUUCAUUGAUUGAGUUCAAUGGAAAGAGGCUUUCAAGUGAGGCUCAAAUCCAACCUUGAUUCUGUCUUGCUCUCGUGUCCUUAGUUUGAUUUGAUGCUUUGAAACCACACCUUCCAUUCCCUCUCCCAGUUUGAGUAUCCAGGACCGGAUGUAGUGCAGAUGAGGUUCCUUAGGUUAAACAGCAGGCUCACCAGUCAGAACAUGACCUACUCCUGCCAGCCUGGGACAGACAGGGACCAGGGGAAAGAGAGGUGAAGUUCCUGGCAGACACAUGAAGACAAAGUUACCUGGGGACAUUACAAGAGUGUGUGUCCUCUGAGGAGCUGGAUUGCGGAGACCGUCGUGAGUCAGGGUUCCAGUUUGAGAGCGAGGACCUCGAUCGGCUUCCACUGAGAGAUCUGGCAGUGUUCGGAAGCAGUGACCUCACACAGGAGUUUGGAUUCACUAUCGGGUCUGUGUGCUUCAGCUAAAGGAAAGAGAGACACUCUCUCUAAGGACUGAUAAGAGCAGAGACAACAAUGAGACAAUCACCAGACAACCUCCAGCUAGUGGGGAAAUGACUCAGAGAUACUGGAAAGAGACAGAAAAAGGCAUCAGCAUUUCUCCUCUUCUCAUGACAGAAUUGUUUAUUGACAAAGUAGAAGUACCAACCAACAGGGCAAAGUGUCUGUUUUCUCUCUCCAAAGGUUAACCAGUUAACAAACAUGAACUGGUUGGUCUGUGGCCAGGGAUAUUCUUGAGAGAAAGUAUCUUUGUAUUUUGUGUACACUGAUUUCAUUUGUGAUAUUGAAACAUGCUCAUUCAUGUAAUUGGUUUAAAUGAUGGUGGUUUCCAUAAAUGUUGUUGGUGCUAUAAUUCUUUUUUUUUUACAAACAUUCCCAUACUUAAUUCCGGUAUGUUCUUGACCAAGAGCAGUGUGGUUUACACAACCUUCACUGCCACAACUUAACAAUGUGUCCCAAAUCUGUGCUCACUCUACCCUUACAUCCCAAGUUAGAAACUAAGGAACAUAUCAAUAUUGAUCCCUUGGUCAAAAAGUAGGAAGACUAAUACAAUGAGGACUAUUAGGAGCUAUGACAAUUAAUUAAUUGUAUUUGGUGAUAACAUUUUAUGCAAUAUUGCAGCACCUGAUAGAUGCAGUAGCCUAACUACCAUUGGUGAAAUUGUGAUGUUCUGAUGUUUUUUUUACCUUUAUUUUACCUUUAGUGAUGUCUGUUGAUACAGAGGAACAAUGCGGUACUAUAAAACAUGUUGUCAAAGUUGAUGUAUAUAGGUCAUUCAAUAAGACCAACGUUGACGUUUUCUGUAGAUCCGUUGUGUCUCCUGUGUUUUUACCUCACUGCACCUUAUUAUGAUGUCCCUGUUAGAGGUUUAUCUUUGUCCCUCCUCAAUUUACCACAUGAUUUUACACCCUGACCUGGCUUUAUUCUACCAUGAACCCCAACCUGAGAAGCUUUGACAAGGGAAAAAUGACUCCCCAGUUCUGUGAAAAACAGUUCUGAUUCGAAUGGAAAAACUCCAGGAGGGACUUUAUGUGGUGGCUGCUCUUGAUAAUGUGCUUACAAUUGAUACUGGAUUGCAUGCAGCAGGCUUUGCACAUGGUAUGGAACUUCAAUGACAGAGACAAAGGUAUCUUUAAAGUUUUGCUCAGUUUCA